CAAGUCGAACGAGACUUUUCGUUGUAGCAAUACGAUGGAAAGUUUAGUGGCGAACGGGUGCUUAACAUGUGGGCAACCUGCCGGGAAGUGGGGGAUAGCUCGCCGAAAGGCGAAUUAAUACCGCAUGUGAUUAGAGAGGACAUCCUUUCGAAAUUAAAGUCGGGGCAACCUGACGCUUUUUGUGGGGCCCGCGGCCUAUCAGCUAGUUGGUGAGGUAACGGCUCACCAAGGCUUUGACGGGUAGCUGGUCUGAGAGGACGACCAGCCACACUGGGACUGAGACACGGCCCAGACACCUACGGGUGGCAGCAGUCGAGAAUUUUUGACAAUGGGGGAAACCCUGAUCGAGCGACGCCGCGUGGAGGAUGAAGGUCUUCGGAUUGUAAACUCCUGUCAUUGGGGAACAAGGUGCAUACGUUAACUGCGUGUGCAUUGAUAGUACCCGAAGAGGAAGAGACGGCUAACUCUGUGCCAGCAGCCGCGGUAAUACAGAGGUCUCAAGCGUUGUUCGGAUUCAUUGGGCGUAAAGGGUGCGUANGCGGCGCGGUAAGUCGGGUGUGAAAUCUCGGAGCUUAACUCCGAAACUGCAUUCGAUACUGCCGUGCUUGAGGACUGGAGAGGAGACUGGAAUUUACGGUGUAGCGGUGAAAUGCGUAGAUAUCGUAAGGAAGACCAGUGGCGAAGGCGGGUCUCUGGACAGUUCCUGACGCUGAGGCACGAAGGUCAGGGGAGCAAACGGGAUUAGAUACCCCGGUAGUCCUGACAGUAAACGGUGCACGUUUGGUGUGGGAGGAUUCGACCCCUUCUGCGCCGGA
rnacentral:rRNA from 1 species